rnacentral:misc_RNA from 1 species
AAGUCGUAACAAGGUCUCCGUAGGUGAACCUGCGGAGGGAUCAUUCACAUGAUAUACUUUAAACAAACUGUGAACUUUAUAAAAUACUAUUCGUGUGUGUUGUUGACUUUAUGUUAAUUUCAUACAUUGUCAUUCGAUUGAACAUAAGAUAGUUGGCUUGAAAUUGUAAUUCAUUACAUUUUCUUUCUCAGCUUUGAUUUGAUAUAACUAAACAUUUUAUCACUUCAACCAUAAAACAUAGAAACAACUCUAUGCCCUGGAUAUCUUGGUUCUC